CACAGCAGUUUCUUGUCUAGCUCAGUGGGAAGAAAAAAGAAAGGGAAAAAAAGGGUAUUGCCUGGCCCUAAUUUCAAGACAGUUAUGUUAAACAAAAGGACCGGAAAAUGGAACUGUAUUCUUUUGAAAUGACCGUAAUUGGCUAAAUGUUAAAGCUGAAAGAAAGUAAUGAUGAAGAACAAGGCAGAACUUCCCAGAAUCAAUGAGAGUAUACCCCAUGAUGGAAGAGACUGAGGUGGAAUCCUGUAACUGAGACACCAAGCACAUUUAUGCUCUAUUCAGCGGGGACAGCAGGACAAUGCCCACGGUUCACCUGAUAGCCUUCCUUUCCUCACUCUGCACAUUUCUGAAAAGGGGCUGAGAAGGAGGCAUCCCAGCAUCUCCAGAUGACUGGAAGUGAAGCAGCACCUUCAGAUCCUCUCCUCUCCAAGAGAAGCUGGAGCCUAGAGACAUCAUUCGAUGAAAAGACUAUUAUUUUUCUAUUAAAUUGUCUUGAAGUCUUGAAGAAAAUCAACUAGCCACAAAGAUACACAUGACCGUAGAGUGUAUUUUCAAAGGAGCCUUUCAAGAAACUAUUCCUCUUCAGUAUCGUUGUACCAUUCACUCUGUCUGCUGAGAUCAUUCUCUUUGCUUGGCCAACCCCACUUUACUUUUGCAAGUCUUUGAAAGACACCUUCCCAAUCUCCAACCAAAAUAUCAACAAGUGUCUUCCUUGUCUACCUGUGGACCCCCAAGCAUUUUGACAUGACCAAGAGAUCAGUUCCUUUUAUUUAUCAUCACUUCCACAGAGAAAUUCUCAGGAUUUUGUUGUUUUUGUUUUUACUAGAAAACUAAAAAUACUUUUUAAAACAAAAUUCCUCUGUGUCUUCUGUUCUGUACCGUUGGUCUACCUGCCAUACCUUU